rnacentral:tRNA from 1 species
UUAAGAUUAGUUUAAUAAAAAUAUUUAAUUUUGGUUUAAAAGAUUGAUCUUAAA